GGGGUUGUGGCUCAGCGGUAGAGCGCUCGCCUAGCACGUGCGAGACGCAAGGUUCGAUCCUCAGCACCA
rnacentral:tRNA from 1 species